UACGUAGGGCGCAAGCGUUGUCCGGAAUUAUUGGGCGUAAAGAGCUCGUAGGCGGCCUGUUGCGUCCGCUGUGAAAUCCCGGGGCUCAACCCCGGGCGUGCAGUGGAUACGGGCUGGCUGGAGGCAGGCAGGGGAGAACGGAAUUCCUGGUGUAGCGGUGAAAUGCGCAGAUAUCAGGAGGAACACCGGUGGCGAAGGCGGUUCUCUGGGCCUGUACUGACGCUGAGGAGCGAAAGCGUGGGGGGCGAACAGG
rnacentral:rRNA from 1 species